rnacentral:rRNA from 1 species
CACGUAGGGGGCGAGCGUUGUCCGGAUUUAUUGGGCGUAAAGAGCUCGUAGGCGGUUUCGUAAGUCGGGUGUGAAAACUCCAGGCUCAACCUGGAGACGCCACCCGAUACUGCGAUGACUAGAGUCCGGUAGGGGAGUGUGGAAUUCCUGGUGUAGCGGUGAAAUGCGCAGAUAUCAGGAGGAACACCAACGGCGAAGGCAGCACUCUGGGCCGGAACUGACGCUGAGGAGCGAAAGCGUGGGUAGCGAACAGG